AGAGUUUGAUCCUGGCUCAGAACGAACGCUGGCGGCGUGCUUAACACAUGCAAGUCGAACGCGAAAAUUUUCCUCGGAAAGUGAGUAGAGUGGCGCACGGGUGAGUAACGCGUAAGUUAUCUACCUCGGCAUCCGGAAUAACUCACCGAAAGGUGUGCUAAUACCGGAUACGUUGAGUAAUCAAGAAAGGUGGCCUCUGAAUAUGCUACUGUGCUGAGAUGAGCUUGCGUACCAUUAGCUAGUUGGUAGGGUAAUGGCCUACCAAGGCUACGAUGGUUAGCUGGUCUGAGAGGAUGAUCAGCCACACUGGAACUGAGACACGGUCCAGACUCCUACGGGAGGCAGCAGUGGGGAAUUUUGCGCAAUGGGCGAAAGCCUGACGCAGCAACGCCGCGUGAGUGAUGAAGGCUUUCGGGUCGUAAAGCUCUGUCGAGGGGAAAGAAGUGUACUUUGGCUAAUAUCCAUUGUACUUGACGGUACCCCUAAAGGAAGCACCGGCUAACUCCGUGCCAGCAGCCGCGGUAAUACGGGGGGUGCAAGCGUUGUUCGGAAUUAUUGGGCGUAAAGCGCGUGUAGGCGGUCUGAUUAGUCUGAUGUGAAAGCCCUGGGCUCAACCCAGGAAGUGCAUUGGAUACUGUCAGACUUGAAUACGGGAGAGGGUAGUGGAAUUCCUAGUGUAGGAGUGAAAUCCGUAGAUAUUAGGAGGAACACCGGUGGCGAAGGCGGCUACCUGGACCGAUAUUGACGCUGAGACGCGAAAGCGUGGGUAGCAAACAGGAUUAGAUACCCUGGUAGUCC
rnacentral:rRNA from 1 species